GCAUAGGGCGUAUACAGAAUGACAUAAGGUUUGCCUGCUUAACAAUAAUUGGUUAUCUAAGAAAAAAUAGGUGGUAACUUAGUAUUAUUCGAUAUCUAUGAUUAAAGCCAUACGUUAUGAUGUUUUGGUAAGUUACACACAAAGACCUUCUUGAGACUUCUAAUUACAUGAUGGAAUGAAUGAUUGCCUAUAGAAAUGUGAACCUUCACAGGAAUUCAGGCUUACAAGGCUAGGUCAAAGGUUAUUAUAGGCAGGAUCCACAAGUCUCCAUCCAUCAUUCUGGACUUAAAACCAUAUGUGUGUAAAUUACAGUAUGUGUAUAAAUUACAUUAUGAUGGUAAUGUAUCUGGGUAGGGGCCCUCGAUGUCUGGAUAUGCUUAGAAUAAUAACUUACAAUAUUUCUACAUUCCUACAACACGUUGAAUACAUUU